GCAGGGGCCUCAAGAUGGAGUCACAGACCCAGAUACUCAUAUUCCUGUUGCUCUGGGUGUCUGGUGCUGAUGGGAACAUUGUGAUGACUCAGUCUCCCAAAUCCAUGUACAUAUCUUUAGGAGACAGAGUCACUAUAAGCUGCAAGGCCAGUCAGAAUGUGGGUACUGCUGUAGCCUGGUAUCAACAGAAACCAGGGCAGUCUCUUGAACUGCUUAUCUACGGGGCAUCCAACCAGUACACUGGGGUCCCAGAUCACUUCACAGGCAGUGGAUCUGGGACAGAUUUCACUCUCACCAUCAGCAGUGUGCAGGCUGAAGACCUGGCAGAUUACUACUGUCAGCAGGUUACAACUAUCCUCCCACAGUGCUUCAACCUCCUACAUAAACCUCCUCUGAGAUUCCAACCAGCCACCUGUACCACACAUCCCCAGACCUUCACACUUCCCCUUCUGCCUGCAGCUGCUAGGCCUAACUGUUGCAAAUUUUGGUAG